rnacentral:rRNA from 1 species
UACGUAGGGGGCGAGCGUUGUCCGGAAUUACUGGGCGUAAAGGGCGUGUAGGCGGCGUUUUAAGUUAGGCGUGAAAGACCCCGGCUUAACCGGGGGGUUGCGUCUAAAACUGGGAUGCUUGAGUGCAGGAGAGGAGAACGGAAUUCCCGGUGUAGCGGUGAUAUGCGUAGAUAUCGGGAGGAACACCAGUGGCGAAGGCGGUUCUCUGGCCUGUAACUGACGCUGAGGCGCGAAAGCUGGGGGAGCAAACAGGAUUAGAUACCCUGGUAGUCCCAGCUGUAAACGAUGGAUACUAGGUGUAGGAGGUAUCGACCCCUUCUGUGCCGGAGUUAACGCAAUAAGUAUCCCGCCUGGGGAGUACGGCCGCAAGGUUGAA